rnacentral:rRNA from 1 species
GCGGAGGAACAUGUGGUUUAAUUCGAUGAUACGCGAGGAACCUUACCCGGGCUUGAAAUGCAUCUGACCGGCCUUGAAAGAGGUUUUCCCUUCGGGCAGAUGUGUAGGUGCUGCAUGGUUGUCGUCAGCUCGUGCCGUGAGGUGUCGGCUUAAGUGCCAUAACGAGCGCAACCCUCAUCAUUAGUUACCAUCAGGUAAGGCUGGGGACUCUAAUGAGACUGCCAUCGUAAGAUGUGAGGAAGGUGGGGAUGACGUCAAAUCAGCACGGCCCUUACGUCCGGGGCGACACACGUGUUACAAUGGGUGGUACAAAGGGCAGCUACCUGGCGACAGGAUGCUAAUCUCCAAAACCACUCUCAGUUCGGAUCGGAGUCUGCAACUCGACUCCGUGAAGCUGGAUUCGCUAGUAAUCGCGCAUCAGCCACGGCGCGGUGAAUACGUUCCCGGGCCUU